rnacentral:rRNA from 1 species
GACGAACGCUGGCUGCGUGCCUAAUACAUGCAAGUUGAGCGCUGACGGUUGGUACUUUUACCAACUUGCUGAUCAGCGAACGGGUGAGUAACUCGUGGGUAAUCUGCCUUUGAGCUGGGGACAGCAUUUCGUACCGAAUGCUAAUACCUCAUAAAAACUUUAAUCACAAGUUUUAAGUUUGAAAUAUGCAAUUGCAUCACUCAAAGAUGAUCCCGCGUUGUAUUAGCUAUUUGGUGAGGUACAGGCUCACCAAGCCGAUGAUACAUAGCCGACCUGAGAGGGGGAGCGACGACACUGAGACUGAGACACGGCCCAAACACAAACGGGAGGCAGCAGUAGGGAAGAUGAGGCAAGGGACGAAAGUCUGACCGAGAAACGCCGCGGGAGGGAAGAAGAUUGUAGGAUCGUAAAACUCGGUUGGUAGAGAAGAGCGUGGGUGAGAGUGGAAAGCUCAUCAAGUGAAGGUAACUACUCAGAAAGGGACGGCUAACUACGUG